UGCUGGCCGCAUGGUCUGGUGGGGGAAAGCUUUUGCGGUGUGGGAUGAGCCCGCGGCCUAUCAGCUUGUUGGUGGGGUGAUGGCCUACCAAGGCGACGACGGGUAGCCGGCCUGAGAGGGUGUCCGGCCACACUGGGACUGAGAUACGGCCCAGACUCCUACGGGAGGCAGCAGUGGGGAAUAUUGCACAAUGGGCGCAAGCCUGAUGCAGCGACGCCGCGUGGGGGAUGACGGCCUUCGGGUUGUAAACCUCUUUCAGUACCGACGAAGCGCAAGUGACGGUAGGUACAGAAGAAGCACCGGCCAACUACGUGCCAGCAGCCGCGGUAAUACGUAGGGUGCGAGCGUUGUCCGGAAUUACUGGGCGUAAAGAGCUCGUAGGUGGUUUGUCGCGUUGUCCGUGAAAACUCACAGCUUAACUGUGGGCGUGCGGGCGAUACGGGCAGACUGGAGUACUGCAGGGGAGACUGGAAUUCCUGGUGUAGCGGUGGAAUGCGCAGAUAUCAGGAGGAACACCGGUGGCGAAGGCGGGUCUCUGGGCAGUAACUGACGCUGAGGAGCGAAAGCGUGGGGAGCGAACAGGAUUAGAUACCCUGGUAGUCCACGCCGUAAACGGUGGGUACUAGGUGUGGGUUUCCUUCCUUGGGAUCCGUGCCGUAGCUAACGCAUUAAGUACCCCGCCUGGGGAGUACGGCCGCAAGGCUAAAACUCAAAGGAAUUGACGGGGGCCCGCACAAGCGGCGGAGCAUGUGGAUUAAUUCGAUGCAACGCGAAGAACCUUACCUGGGUU
rnacentral:rRNA from 1 species